rnacentral:sRNA from 1 species
GUCGUGAGAUGUUGGGUUAAGUCCCGCAACGAGCGCAACCCUUGUCCUUAGUUGCCAGCACGUAAUGGUGGGAACUCUAAGGAGACUGCCGGUGACAAACCGGAGGAAGGUGGGGAUGACGUCAAGUCAUCAUGGCCCUUACGACCAGGGCUACACACGUACUACAAUGGGGGGUACAGAGGGUAGCGAAGCCGCGAGGCGAAGCCAAUCCCAGAAAACCUCUCUCAGUCCGGAUCGCAGUCUGCAACUCGACUGCGUGAAGUCGGAAUCGCUAGUAAUCGCGAAUCAGCAUUGUCGCGGUGAAUACGUUCCCGGGCCUUGUACACACCGCCCGCCACACCAUGGGAGUUGGUUGCUCCAGAAGCAGGUAGCCUAACCGCAAGGAGGGCGCUUGCCACGGAGUGGUCAAUGACUGGGGUGAAGUCGUAACAAGGUAGCCGUAUCGGAAGGUGCGGCUGGAUCACCUCCUUUCGAGAACGACUGAACUUCCACCCAAGGUUCCCACACAAGACACCUGCAUAUCCAGAAAAUUGACGCACGUCCCAACGGGGCUGUAGCUCAGCUGGGAGAGCACCUGCUUUGCAAGCAGGGGGUCACCGGUUCGAUCCCGGUCAGCUCCACAGCUAUCUGACGCGGAUCCCUCCGCAAGAGCCCGCACAUCGUUGUGCGGACUUCUCAAACGAGCACCGGGUCUGUAGCUCAGGUGGUUAGAGCGCGCCCCUGAUAAGGGCGAGGUCGGUGGUUCGAGUCCUCCCAGACCCACCAAUACUGGAUAUGACAGCGCACACGAAAGAAUUGAAACGUCCAGGCGUUGAGGCUUGGGUGUGUUCUUUGACAAUUUGGGACGUAACAAGCGUCUGAACUCUCACCGAGUUUAGAUGUGUCGUUGAGGCAAUUAGGCGAGUCUUGGCAGUAACUUUGAGGCGACUUGGAGUUAUAUGGUCAAGCGAAUAAGCGUCUACGGUGGAUGCCUUGGCGGUCAGAGGCGAAGAAGGACGUGGCAGCCUGCGAAAAGCGCGGGGGAGCUGGCAACAAGCAUUGAUCCCGCGAUGU